UGUCUUGCAGAUGCUCUUAAGCCACAGAGAAAAUUAUUUAAUAGGGAAUUUAUAUUCCAUAAAGGAUUCUGCAGCUGAGAGACUGGAUUGCAUGACUGACCAUUGAUGGAGGUAAAAUCCAGCACGCCAAACCACAUCUGUGUGAGAUCAUCUGCUGGUCCCUGGAGAACAAGUGCAUUGCACUCAAUGCCCCAUCCCUGUUGGCUGGGGUGUUCCAUCCGAUGGACUCGAUCACCAACUAAUGUCCGAAAGAUAUAUCCAAAACCCAUCUGUGAGCUACACACGAUCAUCACUUCCCACCCUUGAGGAACAGAAUCAAGAUGUUCUAUCAGAAUCACACAGAUUUGGGAGAUCAUUACAAUGAAUUAUUUUCCUCUUAAAUAUGAAAUCAUUUACAACAAAAGCAACUUCACCAUGGAAGCUGAGAUUCAGAGAUACCAAGGAGUCUCUCCAGGUCAGAUGGUAUAGAGGGCCUGACGGAUGCAGUGGCACAUCAUAGUUUCAUUAGGAUGGCACUUUAAGAAGUACUAAAAGAAGAUAAAUGAAUAAAUGAAUGAAUGCAUGAGUGAAUGUGAAUACU
rnacentral:lncRNA from 12 species